GCACGCUCACAUUUCACAAUGUUUACCCUCUUUCAUCUCAGCUUGAUUUAUUUAUGUCUGACAGCACGUUAGCAUGUGUUUGGAACAUACCGGCGGCUGCAGCUAUGCUAUGCUAAUGCCAAAGGAUCAAUGCUAACUUUGUAUCUCUUGCUUCAUCGAGGCGUAAGUGGGACUACAUGUGAGCUCACCAGGCUUGUUGGUUUUGACGGGUCGUUGUAGUGACUGGGCUAGGCUAACUACUGAACUGAGUUAAAGUUUAGGUAUUGUGCCCUAACAUGUACAUUGGUCUGGUGUUUGAUGUUGGAGAGUCUGGACAUCAAAUGUACCCUGUGUCACUCCAUCACACUCUGGGAGGCACUGCUCUAACCACAAGGCUUAAAGGUUACAAGAGAACUCGGCCCGUGGCGACCCGAACCCAACCCCUAUUCCGGACCGAGUUCUCCUGGCGGCCGAGAUCUUUUGUUACCGGCUAAAACAGGGGUGGGCAAUCAUGUGUCAUGAAGGGCCGAGACACUGCAGGUUUUUACGACCAGUCACCUCAGCAGGUGAUUUCAUUAACUAUCAGGUAUCUCAGCAGGUUAUUUUAUUAACAAUCAGGUGUCUCAGCAGGUUAUUUUAUUAACAAUCAGGUAUCUCAGCAGGUGAUUUCAUUAACUAUCAGGUGUCUCAGCAGGUGAUUUCAUCAACUAUCAGGUGUCUCAGCAGGUUAUUUUAUUAACAAUCAGGUGUCUCAGCAGGUUAUUUUAUUAACAAUCAGGUAUCUCAGCAGGUCAUUAAAUUAACAAUCAGGUGUCUCAGCAGGUGAUUUCAUUAACGAUCAGGUGUCUCAGCAGGUGAUU